rnacentral:ncRNA from 1 species
GGGAUGAACCGGAAGCCGGGUUACGGUGCCCAACUGCGCGCUAACCUAGAACCCACAAAGGGUGUUGGUCGAUUAAGACAGCAGGACGGUGGUCAUGGAAGUCGAAAUCCGCUAAGGAGUGUGUAACAACUCACCUGCCGAAUCAACUGUCCCCGAAAAUGGAUGGCGCUGAAGCGCGCGACCCACACCCGGCCAUCUGGGCGAGCGCCAUGCCCCGAUGAGUAGGAGGGCGCGGC